rnacentral:rRNA from 1 species
UAUAAGACUGGGAUAACUUCGGGAAACCGGGGCUAAUGCCGGAUAAUAUUUAGAACCGCAUGGUUCUAAAGUGAAAGAUGGUUUUGCUAUCACUUAUAGAUGGACCCGCGCCGUAUUAGCUAGUUGGUGGGGUAAUGGCUCACCAAGGCAACGAUACGUAGCCGACCUGAGAGGGUGAUCGGCCACACUGGAACUGAGACACGGUCCAGACUCCUACGGGAGGCAGCAGUAGGGAAUCUUCCGCAAUGGGCGAAAGCCUGACGGAGCAACGCCGCGUGAGUGAUGAAGGUCUUCGGAUCGUAAAACUCUGUUAUUAGGGAAGAACAAAUGUGUAAGUAACUGUGCACGUCUUGACGGUACCUAAUCAGAAAGCCACGGCUAACUACGUGCCAGCAGCCGCGGUAAUACGUAGGUGGCAAGCGUUAUCCGGAAUUAUUGGGCGUAAAGCGCGCGUAGGCGGUUUCUUAAGUCUGAUGUGAAAGCCCACGGCUCAACCGUGGAGGGUCAUUGGAAACUGGGAAACUUGAGUGCAGAAGAGGAAAGUGGAAUUCCAUGUGUAGCGGUGAAAUGCGCAGAGAUAUGGAGGAACACCAGUGGCGAAGGCGACUUUCUGGUCUGUAACUGACGCUGAUGUGCGAAAGCGUGGGGAUCAAACAGGAUUAGAUACCCUGGUAGUCCACGCCGUAAACGAUGAGUGCUAAGUGUUAGGGGGUUUCCGCCCCUUAGUGCUGCAGCUAACGCAUUAAGCACUCCGCCUGGGGAGUACGACCGCAAGGUUGAAACUCAAG